rnacentral:sRNA from 2 species
UGUUUGCACUUAUCGGGAAGGGUGAGAAUCUUCGACCAAGGUUCGAGUCGAGCGAAAGCGAGACAAAGUUGCCGCAGGCAACGGCCCGAAGGGUGAGGAGCGAAGCGACGAAUAAUCCUUCCCCCACCACCA